UGGAGGUGGAACCUAUGUACCUACGUAUGCAGCCUGUAUGCUCAGAGGCUGGGCACAUAUUGACCGAUACGUACCGCCGGUAGCAAGAUAAACAGUCUUCUCUCUCUCUCUUUCUCUCUCUCGCUUUCUCUCUCUCUCUCUCUCUCUCUCUCUCUCUCUCUCUCUCUCUCUAUUCCUCUCUGUCUCUUCCUGUCACGCGCGCGAGCGAACGCGAUUUCGGUCCCUCUGAAACUUCCGUAGUACCGCAACACGCUUUUUCUACCUCUUUUCGAACGAGGAACCUCGUCGUUUCCCGCUCUCCAGCCGGUCCGGAAAAUUUAUAGCGACGCGCUUUGCCACGAUCUUCGAGCUCGUAAAGUUCCCCUACCUUGGACAUUGCCAUUGCGAUACGAUAAUACGAUUCACGAAGAAAACGAAGAAAGAAAGAAUAGAAAUAGAAGGGGGAAGAUGAGAUUCGAGACAACACAGUUGUAGGGUGAGUAAGAGGGUGAAUAGAGGCAAAUGAUUCAAACUAAGCGUCUAUAUGAUAUUAUGGAAAGGAAAAAAAAGAAAUGGUGAGGAAAGAGAGGAAAAUAGAAAGAAGAUAAAAAAAAGAAAAAAGAAAUAAAAAAAUAAAAAAAAAAAGAAAGAGAGAAAAACAAGAAGAAAAGAAAAGAGAGAAAAACGAGGAGAGCAAUGUGGAGUUAGAGGGAAAGAAGGUUGUGUCCAGGGGGCUAGAAGCAAAUUACAUCGUCGAGUGCCAUUAAUGGCUAUGUGAUAGCCACGAUGGCGAGCGCAUUGCGAGGCCUGCACUCAUGCACUCGUACGCACCCGUCCGACGGAUACCAAAUGUUGCACCGUCGAAGACUAGAACAAAAAGUGAAGCGAAAAGGAGAAAGAGGGAGAGAGAGAGAGAGAGAAAGAGAGAGAGAAAGAAAGAGAGAGAGAGACAGAAGGAAAAAAAAGCAGCAAGUAGAGCGAACAAGCCUGGUCUCUCCUAUUCAUUGUAACCAAUAAUUACCCCGUCUACGUGCUCCAUACGCUGAGCGUAUUGUAAUUAAACAAAGGAGAGAAGCCGCGCGCGCAUACGCCAGCAACCGUUAACGCACGACCUUUCUAAAGGCCCUUUCACACCGGGCUUUACGCGUUGGCCCCGCAAAGGGCCAUGCAGAGGACCCGCGUAGGACGUCUUUGAAGGACCGUCAAAAGAUUUCCGCCGUUCGGUGUCGCCACGACGAGCCACUUCUAUAUUAACAAACCCUUUCUACUAACUCCCCGCUCUUCUCUCUCUCUCUCUCUCUCCCUUUUUAUAGAUUUAUAUUUCUAUUAUUUUUCUUUUUUUUUUUUCCUUUUUUCUUUUUAUUCCUUUUUUUUUCUUUUCUUCUUCUUUGUAUGUAUUCUCCUAUUACAUUGCGACUCUACUAGUAUUUAUCGUUUAUCAUCUAAAGUAUCUGUACGAUGUGAUCUAUUUUUAUCGAAGUAAUUUUUUCUUCUUUUUUUUUUUUUUCAUCAACGACACUCAAGUCGAUUAUUUUAAUUACAACGCGUAAUCUUAUCAACGCAACGUUAUCAUCGAGUUCGAUCAUUUAAUUUCGUGCGAGAUAUUCGUGACACGUUCUGACGUCUAAAUUAGAAAACUCUUAUCAGCGCUUGAUCCUGAUGGAAAAGAAGAUCCCUGUUGGAAUGUUUUUUCGGAAGAGCAAGGAUCAAAGAUACUGCUUAUGGAUAGGCAUAUACAAAAAAAAAAAGAAAAAGAAAAAAAAAAGAAAAAAGAACAAGACAAAAAAGGGUGAAAUAAGAAAUGUUGAAAAUAAUAAAUAUCGUUCCUUGAUUUUUAAUUUGAUAUUUAUAAUCGAUUUGAAAAGGGUCUUCUCGCUUUUUAUCUGCAUUUUUAAAGAAUUCGAUAAAGCCGGAAACUCGAAGCGACAGGAUGUUUUAGGACUCUCACGAAGGACGAACGGAAGGUACGAAAUUUCGCCGCAGAGGGAACCACUUGCUAAGCCAUAGUAGACGAAGUCAGCGCCAAAUAAGUAGAAAGGGAAACGGUGAAAGCUUCAACCCCUUCCCUCCACCUCUCUGAGGAUAAGGUAGUCCCUGAGAGAGUAGAUACAGGAAAACGAAGAAGAUUCAUCUAUCGUCGAAAGAUACAACGAGAGCUCUAAUUUCAUAUAAUUUCAUAUAAUCUCACGUAAUUUCAUACGAUCAAGCAGAUAAGAGAAACAUUAUUAACGAAUUUAUAAUACGUGCGACCUGUAAUUAUAUGCAAUAAUUAAACGAUAACUUGUAAUUAUCAAUUGCACUAUCAACUAUUAUCUACGGUAGAGAAAAGAAAAUCAAAAAGAUUGUAACGAACUUUGAAAAGAGAAGAAUAAAGAAAAAAAUAAAUAAAUAAAUUUAAAAAGACGAACAAGAAGAGGAAAGAGUAUAAAAUAUGCAAUAAGAGGCCGCAAAGAAAUAUCGGAUUUACUAUCCGUCAACGAGUUUGCCACCGUAAUCCAAGUCUCAGAUGAUAUCCAGUGAGUGUAUCUCAUCGCGCUUAUAUUCGAUCAUGGGAGAAGCUAUUCGAGACCAGUCAUUCGAGCCCAGUCGAGCCCAGUCGAGCCCAGUCGAGCCGAGCCUUUCACCCUCAUCUCUUUCGAUUUCCGGCUAAGCUAUAUUGAAAUCCAUCUGACAACUAACUACACCUCCGUCCAUAAAUUCGAUAAGAUCGUACGUUCAAAAGGAACUUUGAUGAUGGACCCUAUCCUUAUGACUUCCCUGCCUUCUUUUUUAUUUUUUUGUUCUUUCUUUUUUUUCUUUUCUAUUCUUUUUUUUUUUUUUUCAUAGAACAACUGACUGGAGAGUCACUCGCAACGGUCAAGUCAAAUACAAUAUGGUAUAAUAAAAGAUAAAGGCAGAACAAGUCAUCGUAGUCAUGAUAUCAUACUUAAAAAAAAAAACUUAUCGUUUAUUUUUAUGUAAAAUCAUUCACGAAUAAAAACGGUAAAUA